rnacentral:rRNA from 1 species
AGAGUUUGAUCCUGGCUCAGAACGAACGCUGGCGGCAGGCUUAACACAUGCAAGUCGAACGCCCCGCAAGGGGAGUGGCAGACGGGUGAGUAACGCGUGGGAACGUACCUUUCAGUUCGGAAUAGCUCAGGGAAACUUGUGAUAAUACCGGAUACGUCCGUAAGGAGAAAGAUUUAUCGCUGAAAGAUCGGCCCGCGUUGGAUUAGCUAGUUGGUGGGGUAAAGGCCUACCAAGGCGACGAUCCAUAGCUGGUCUGAGAGGAUGAUCAGCCACACUGGGACUGAGACACGGCCCAGACUCCUACGGGAGGCAGCAGUGGGGAAUAUUGGACAAUGGGCGAAAGCCUGAUCCAGCCAUGCCGCGUGUGUGAUGAAGGCCUUAGGGUUGUAAAGCACUUUCACCGAUGAAGAUAAUGACGGUAGUCGGAGAAGAAGCCCCGGCUAACUUCGUGCCAGCAGCCGCGGUAAUACGAAGGGGGCUAGCGUUGUUCGGAAUCACUGGGCGUAAGCGCACGUAGGCG